GACGAACGCUGGCGGCGUGCUUAACACAUGCAAGUCGAACGGAAAGGCCCUGCUUUUGUGGGGUGCUCGAGUGGCGAACGGGUGAGUAACACGUGAGUAACUGCCCUUGACUUUGGGAUAAAUUUAGGAAAAUGGGGCUAAUAACGGAUAGGAGCUCCUGCUGCAUGGUGGGGGUUGGAAAGUUUCGGCGGUUGGGGAUGGACUCGCGGCUUAUCAGCUUGUUGGUGGGGUAGUGGCUUACCAAGGCUUUGACGGGUAGCCGGCCUGAGAGGGUGACCGGCCACAUUGGGACUGAGAUACGGCCCAGACUCCUACGGGAGGCAGCAGUGGGGAAUAUUGCACAAUGGGCGGAAGCCUGAUGCAGCAACGCCGCGUGCGGGAUGACGGCCUUCGGGUUGUAAACCGCUUUCGCCUGUGACGAAGCGUGAGUGACGGUAAUGGGUAAAGAAGCACCGGCUAACUACGUG
rnacentral:rRNA from 1 species